CCUACGGGAGGCUGCAGUGGGGAAUAUUGCACAAUGGGGGAAACCCUGAUGCAGCAACGCCGCGUGAGCGAAGAAGGCCUUCGGGUCGUAAAGCUCUGUCCUAAGGGAAGAAGCAUGACGGUACCUUAGGAGGAAGCCCCGGCUAACUACGUGCCAGCAGCCGCGGUAAUACGUAGGGGGCGAGCGUUAUCCGGAAUCACUGGGCGUAAAGGGUGCGUAGGCGGCCAAUUAAGCCAGAGGUGAAAGGCUACGGCUCAACCGUAGUAAGCCUUUGGAACUGAAUGGCUAGAGUGCAGGAGAGGAAAGCGGAAUUCCUAGUGUAGCGGUGAAAUGCGUAGAUAUUAGGAAGAACACCAGUGGCGAAGGCGGCUUUCUGGACUGUAACUGACGCUGAGGCACGAAAGCGUGGGGAGCGAACAGGAUUAGAUACCCCAGUAGUC
rnacentral:rRNA from 1 species